rnacentral:pre_miRNA from 1 species
AAUGAGAUUGCUGGCUCAUGGUAAGUAGGGGUAAAUAUAUAUUUAACUUUAUCAGAAAUUGCCAAACUGCUGUUUAGAGUGCUGCACAUUUUACAUUCCCAUCAGCAAU